CGGGGACUAAUUUGCAAAAUUAUUAAACAUUUUAAGUUUUUCCAUUGAUUAAUAAGUUAUGGUUUUGAAGUUUGAUGGAAGAAAAUGAAUCAUUGUUGUUAAAUAGACAACUUUUGUUAAGUGAAUUUUGAUGAAAUUGUUAAUUAGGGGUUAAAUUGAGAAAUGUGAAAAUUGUGUGGUAAAUAUGUGAAAUUGUCAAAUGUGU
rnacentral:lncRNA from 1 species